GCCUAGCAUAAGGCCAAGAGACCUUGCUCGCUUUGGGACUGACCCUGCAAAGUCUUGAGUUACUGAGAACAAAGGAAAUCCAGGGUGCCUAGUCCUCUCCACCAAAUUUUGAUUAGUCCCCACCAUUUUAAAGUAGGCAUUUAUACACAAG